UAGCGCUACUCCAUUCUGGCAUUCUCCCCCACCCGUUCCCCUCUCUCUCUACAUUUCUAUACUCUCUCUCUCUCUCUCUCUCUUAUUUUAUAAUUCCUCUCACGCACAUACACUCUGACGUUCCCUCCACCGACACCAGGCUUGGCGGCACAGUAUCUCCCGCCACCUUCCGUACCCGAGGAUCCGACCCGCUCCCAUUUGCUUUGGCCUUCGCUCUUUGGAUCCGAUUUAUACCCCCAACCCUCCCCAGCCCCCACUUUUCUCUCUUCUUUCUUUUAUUUUCUCUUUCUUGUAAAUCUUUUAUUUCUCUAUUCGUUCGUUUUGCCUUUCCUAUUUUCUUUAAAAUCCUAGGGUUCUUUUCGACAUUUUUAUGGUGCUUUGACCCAUACCUCUCGAUUUGACGCAUUUAAGCAGGUUGGGAUGAGUAGUACCCACGCCCGUCCGAUUUUGACGCCUGGGGCCUCCAGAAAGCGUAAGGAGAGAGAAGCACCACCGUACUCAUUUUUAAACCCGUCGGCUACACUGACUUCCGCUCCAACACCAGCUGCUAAGCCAGGCGAUGGGCUCUCUUCGAAUCGGCUCUUAGCCGGUUACAUGGCAUACGAGUUUCUGACUAAUGGUACCCUGUUCGGCCGGAAAUUCGAACCGGUACGAGCCGAGGCGAUGCCGCUAGCAAGUUCGUCGGCCGAGUCGAAGAGGUGGAAGCCGGAAGUGGAGGCGGCCAACGUGAAGAAGGUGCACCAAAGUUACGCUGAGGUGGCGAGCAUACUGAAGACGGAUGGGGCCCACAUCACUGGAGUUGUCAACCCUAUGCAACUGGCCCGGUGGGUUCAGAUGUGACCCCAACAAAGCUCAGGGUUCUUAUGUGGCGUCCCUUGGUUGGUCCACGUACGUCAAACGAGGUAGAGCGCUCAUGCGCGCGAUAACCUACCUGUUAAUUGUAUCAAUUCGGACUCCGGAGAAGACGGUGGGGUAUCGGAGUACCCCGUAAUAAUAUGGAAACCAAAACCGAAUGAAAUUAGGGAAGGCUCAUUUCUCAUCUCUUUCUUUCUAGAAUGUUCCUCACGGGAAUGAUGUUAAAAUUACACUUCUCUCUGCCUCCUUGUGUGUUGUUGUAUUAGUUUUUGGUUCGUAAUGAGCUCCAUGUGGGAUUCUGGGUGGAAAACCAUGAGAAAUGCUUUAAUAUCUUGAUCUUGUUCAUUCGUCGCAGUUGAUUUAUGUAUAUAUUCAUGUAAUUACGUUAUGCAUGUGUUACGAAUCAUAUAUAACAUGUCAUAUAGAUGGAGCUUGAAGAGUCCGUGAAAGCUCGCAGCUGACUAUUGAAGAAGCGGGAGCUUCCGAUGCCCGCGCGCAUAUAUGAAUGGAAACGCACGGAUGGAUUUGUCCUUGAUAGUUGGUGAUCUCCAUACAUGUAUGCGCGCAAGUGACUUGUGUGUGUAGGUGUGAUGUGAAAAUGAUGAUUAACGUACGACGUAAUUGGAAUUUCAAGACGGGUGGCCAUGGCCUCAGAUGAGGGCCUUGUACGCUUGUCUCUCCUCUGGGGCUGGAGGUAAUUUGUUUACCGGCCGGGUAGAUGGUUACCGAGUCUUCUCUUCCAAGAAAGCCGUCUUUUUUAGGAAUUAAGGACGUGAUAUAUGUCUGAUGUCCCCGAUAUUUUUUCGUGUGACGUUAAUUAAUAGGUUUUCCAAUCCAUUAUAUUAACACAAUUCAGAUUUUAGUUUUCUUCA